rnacentral:rRNA from 1 species
CGUAAAGGGUGCGUAGGCGGCUUAGCAAGCCAGGGGUGAAAGGCAUUGGCUCAACCAAUAGUAAGCCUUUGGAACUGUUAAGCUUGAGUGCAGGAGAGGUAAGUGGAAUUCCUAGUGUAGAGGUGAAAUUACGUAGAUAUUAGGAGGAACACCAGUGGCGAAGGCGACUUACUGGACUGUAACUGACGCUGAUGCACGAAAGCGUGGGUAGCGAACAGGAUUAGAUACCCUGGUAG